GGAAACCGAGUCUUAACUGGGCGAAUUAGUUGCAGGGUAUAGACCCGAAACCCGGUGAUCUAGCCAUGGGCAGGUUGAAGGUUGGGUAACACUAACUGGAGGACCGAACCGACUAAUGUUGAAAAAUUAGCGGAUGACUUGUGGCUGGGGGUGAAAGGCCAAUCAAACCGGGAGAUAGCUGGUUCUCCCCGAAAGCUAUUUAGGUAGCGCCUCGUGAAUUCAUCUCCGGGGGUAGAGCACUGUUUCGGCUAGGGGGUCAUCCCGACUUACCAACCCGAUGCAAACUGCGAAUACCGGAGAAUGUUAUCACGGGAGACACACGGCGGGUGCUAACGUUCGUCGUGAAGAGGGAAACAACCCAGACCGCCGGCUAAGGUCCCAAAGUCAUAAUUAAGUGGGAAACGAAGUGGGAAGGCUCAGACAGCCAGGAUGUUGGCUUAGAAGCAGCCAUCAUUUAAAGAAAGCGUAAUAGCUCACUGGUCGAGUCGGCCUGCGCGGAAGAUGUAACGGGGCUAAAUUAUGCACCGAAGCCGCGGCAGCGAUAUGUAAAUAUUGUUGGGUAGGGGAGCG
rnacentral:rRNA from 1 species